rnacentral:misc_RNA from 1 species
UGAAUUUAAUCUCGUUAGAGAGUGGAGAUUUCACGAUCUUAGUCUUAAAUCAAAAAUGAAAGGCAGGAAGUGUGUACGAAGGGGAGUAUCGAAGUUGUUUAUUUUUAGUAUACUUACGCAUGCUAGAUGAUCGUAUGUGCACGAGUUUACGAUAUUUUCCCCUCGUGAGCUGUCGCUAGUUUUUGCUCGAAACAGCUGACCGUGUUUAGUUUGUGUUAGAAGUCAUUUUGCUUACUUUGUAGUUCAGUUCUGCAAGGUGAACUAUUGAGACGUAAAAGAUUUGCAUUCUCUCCAUAUUAGUCGUAGCGAGUUUUGCGAAACAAUAGAUUCGAUUUUCAUUUAUAUUGCAUACUUCAAGGGUUUUGAAUUUAUUCGAAAAAUAAAGCAUUAGUUCUCAUCCUCCCUUUCAAUUUACGAGGCGCUUCUGAAGCUUAUUUUGCGUGUUUGCUGUCAUGAUUUUUAUGGCGUAUCUUUCGCUUCACUCACGUUUGCCGGCCUGGGUUAGCUCAUAGUUCAUGUUUCUUGGCACGUGGUAACUUGUUAUUCCAGUUUCUAACCAGUUUUAUUUACACCUCCAUUCAUUUCUUCGAUCGAUAAGUAUUUCUUUCAAAUUCUGAGUUUGGCUUUUUGAAGGUUUUUCUUUUUUGUUAGUACUUUUGGUUCGACUGAUUAAAUCUUGUUUACUGUUGCAUUUACUCGUCAAAGCUGAUUGUCGUGUUGAUCCGGUUGAAAGGAAUGAUUCCCAGAACUCGUUACCCUUGUCAUGCUAUUAUAUUCGCUUAUGGCUUUGUUGUUGACGUUAAUUGUAAAUUAUUUCAUGAAAAAGGCUUUUAUUUAUCCUAAUGAAUCGUCGAGAUUUUUAUGUCAAGGGAGUGAAAUCGUGACAGUGCAAGUUUUUUUUACUGUUGUUGUUUUUAAUUCCAUCAACAAUAACUGACAACGAGAUCUCGACGGGUUUUUUUGGAAUGUUUCUUUUGAGAGUUCAAAGUUCGUUUGGUUUUGUGCAUUGUUUAGGUGUUUGUGUUGUUAUUUUCUAAGUGAAGGCCAACCAUUUAAUACAAUUUCUAAAUUAUUGUCCCAUAAAUUUUCAUCAAAAUUUCACGCUCACUUCAGUUCUUGGUCUUCAGAUUUUAACAAUUAACAUUAAAAGUUUGUUUACAACGUCUAGCUAUUUUGAUUUUUCUUCUUAAUGUGACAGUAGUUUUGUCUUCUUUUUUGUUGUGAACAAAUUCCACAUUUUGGAAUACAGUAACUACGUUUUUAAAACUUCUUGAAGGGUUAUACCCUCAGUAUUUGCGUAGGGUAAGAUUUGGAACUUUUUGGCCUUGUCUCAGCAUGUUUGUGCUGACUAUACAAUAGUUUUCAAUGAACCUCUUCCCUUGCUUCCUGCCUUUUAUUGCAAUUAGAUAUAAAUUGUAUUAUUGGAAAAUGCCAAAGUGAUGUCUUUUCUACUCUGACAACAACACUGUUUUUGACAUGUUGUUAAAAUUUUUAAAAUUUACACUGUCAUAAUUUGGGAGAUGUUAGUUUGCCCGGCAAAUUGUUCUUGUUUCAUGCAGUAGAAGAGUAUCAGUUUGGUACAAUAGUAAAAGUUAUUUUUACCUAGUGCUAUUCACAGCAUGGCUCAUGUGACAUGGCCAUUUGGAAAAAAAUGAAAAAUAUAUGUAUUUGCUUCUGCGAUAUUUCAAAGGAAGGUUGUUGUGGCUUAUUUGACUUUUGUUUUCUUUGUGCCAUUCUGUGAAUAAGAUCUGAAUUAAAAGGGAUUAAUGGAGCAAGUUGGGGCUGUUUGUGUGCAUAUUUGUGGUUAAUUGACUUAAUAGUGCUAAACCAUGAGUGUAAUGGAAUUAGUGUUGAUGCUUAAAUGUUUUAGUAAGCCAUGUGUAUAAGUCUGUUUGUCAUUGUACUGUAUUUUUAACAUGUGUUUAUUGACCGCUGGGGGUAUUGGAAGGGUUGGAAUGAGUAAAUAGUACACAUUUCAAUAUCCCACCAUUUAAUUUCUGACUUUGUGAUGCAACCCGACAUGUAUACUUAAAUGUGUCCCACAAACAAGUAUCAUUGCACAAAGUAGCAUUGACAUGGACUUCAUAAAUGACAAACUGGGCAAAUUCAAUUAGGAUGAUCUGUUUUGUUUUGUGUCCCCAUUGUUUUGAAUUUCAAGGUUGCAGUCUGGCAGGUCAUGCGCUAAUUGGGAUAUUGACUUGUAUAAUUUAUCCAUGCUCAGUGGUAUACUUUAAUCUGGGAAUAUAAUCCUUUUGAUUGUUGCUGUUUUGAUUGUAGCUAAUGUUCCUCCUCAGUGCAAGGCUGACUGCAACUGAGUGGGCACAGUUGGUAGGGCCUCCUGGACGUCUGCAGAUGGAGUUUUGCACACCUUCGAAGUUGCAGGGACUGCCUCAGAAAUUGAUGAUAAAGCUGUGGAGGCCUUUGUCGAUGAGGAUGAUUUUAUCAUAUCCUUAGACUACAACGAAAAAAUGGGAGUUUGCAGCGUAGUCUUGGAGACAUCAAGCUGACAAAUAGUGUUGGAGGUUCAUGACCUGGUUUUCUACUUUGCCAAGUUGGAGGACAUAAUUUACUAGUUAUAUUGACUUUGCAUAUUUUGUGGAAGUUCACUGCUAGUUAUGUCGACAAGGAGAAUACAAUAUACUGUAUGUUUCUUUGUGAUAUAAGUUGAUUGUAAGAGUGGAAUUUCUCUGUAACAUGGUGUUCAGGAGGUUUUUCUUUUCUGGAGUAACUUAUUACUAUGAGAAAUUUUCAAUCAUGCAACUCUGAUAAUGUAUCUAGCAUAACUUAACCCUUUAACUCCCAAGAUCUGAUCAUCAAUUCUCCUUUCAAGCUGUUGCAAAUUUCCUUGUGAAUUAGUUCUAGGCUGUCAUUUUGACUUGCUGCCAAAUUUGUCUUCCUAAUUUACAAGAAAAUAGAUGUAAGUUUAAUAGAGAAUUUCAGUUCUCAUCUUUGUAGUUUAAGGGUUAGAUUUGAUGUACUCUCCUGAUAGGGAGCAAUAUUUGUGGCAUAGGACAUGCCCAUAUGACAAGAUUUGUAAUUUUUAUUUGUAGUAAAAUAUUUCCAGUACAUUUUCUGGAUAAGAUUGUAUAUUUGUACUGAGAUAUACUAUAUCAUGGGGAGAGAGUUGUUUUGUAAUUUAUUUCAUCGCAAAAAAUUAACAAAAGUUAAGUGUUACUCCAACAAAAAGAGUAUUAUUCUGGUCACAGUGUAAAAAUUUAUGUGUAAGCAAUAUUAUUCACUUUGGAUAGUUUAUGUUAUUUCCUUUUACAGAAAAAUCAAUUUUGUAUUUUAAUUCUUGUAGAGCAAUUUCAAGAGAGAAACAUGACUUCCAGACUUAGUUUUUGACUGGUUUUCUGUUUCAUUUCAUGUUUUUUAUUAUUUUAUAACAAGUUGUCAAAUUUCAUUCAUGAUUCAGUGCUGUGUAGACUUAGCUUCCAUGUUUGAAGCAUUUAAGAAAAUUUUUGUCAAAGACUUGGUUCUAAGGUAAUAUUUGCCAUUUUUCUGAAGGAAAGACCUCUGUUAAGUAACUAAGAUGCAGACCUCUUCAGAAAUCAAACUCCAAGUAGUGGCUGCACAUUAUUUCAUGGGUGAAGGUAGAAACUGAAAGUUUUCUUUCUCAGGAAUAACUUUGUCACAGUAAUAUCUGACCUUUCUUUAGGAAUUAAAACUUUCUUUUGUUGUUUACAAUCAAAAUUAAGCAACUUUAAAGAUGCAAGUAUUUCUUUGAUCAAAGCAUAAUAAACACAGAAAAAUAGAGCAAAAA